UACGUAGGGCGCAAGCGUUAUCCGGAAUUAUUGGGCGUAAAGAGCUCGUAGGCGGUUUGUCGCGUCUGCCGUGAAAGUCCGGGGCUCAACUCCGGAUCUGCGGUGGGUACGGGCAGACUAGAGUGAUGUAGGGGAGACUGGAAUUCCUGGUGUAGCGGUGAAAUGCGUAGAGAUCGGCAGGAACACCCAGGGGGAAACCAGUGGACUGGCACGGUGCUGACGCUCAGGUGCGAAAGCGUGGGGAGCGAACCGG
rnacentral:rRNA from 1 species